ACAAUCAUAUCAUGUUGAAACAUUGGUUCUUGUACAAUUACCGAAGAUAAGCAAUGUCGAGCCUGAUCAGUACCUAGAUGGGUGAUCACUUGGGAAUACCAAGUGCUGUAA